GAUGAACGCUGGCGGCGUGCCUAAUACAUGCAAGUCGAGCGAACGGACGAGAAGCUUGCUUCUCUGAUGUUAGCGGCGGACGGGUGAGUAACACGUGGAUAACCUACCUAUAAGACUGGGAUAACUUCGGGAAACCGGAGCUAAUACCGGACAAUAUUUUGAACCGCAUGGUUCAAAAGGGAAAGACGGUCUUGCUGUCACUUAUAGAUGGAUCCGCGCUGCAUUAGCUAGUUGGUAAGGUAACGGCUUACCAAGGCAACGAUGCAUAGACGACCUGAGAGGGUGAUCGGCCACACUGGAACUGAGACACGGUCCAGACUCCUACGGGAGGCAGCAGUAGGGAAUCUUCCGCAAUGGGCGAAAGCCUGACGGAGCAACGCCGCGUGAGUGAUGAAGGUCUUCGGAUCGUAAAACUCUGUUAUUAGGGAAGAACAUAUGUGUAAGUAACUGUGCACAUCUUGACGGUACCUAAUCAGAAAGCCACGGCUAACUACGUG
rnacentral:rRNA from 1 species